rnacentral:lncRNA from 1 species
AUCCUACUCAAAGCAUCUCAAAUCACGUACUGUGGUAAAUACUGUUCUGGCCUAACCACUCUACGUCACACAAACUUAACUGAACAGGUGAGGACAGAGAAAGCAAGCAAAGGAGAGAGCAAUUCUAAAGAGUAGAAAGCUAUUCACCAGGUCACACAUCUCCUGCCCUUGGAAUUAGGAAAGAAACCCACCAUUCUGCCCUGUGUCAGAAUGAGGGAAAAAGCAUCUGCUGCCAAAGCAUGGUGAAUCCUUUAUAAAGGAAAUUGUCACUUCCAAGUAAUAAUUAUUCUUCAUUUUCAUAAUUAUAUAUCUAGAUUAAAGCUAGUAACAUAACUGAAAAAGUUGCCAAUGGAUAGAAAAAUGUUGCAUAACAAAUAAGAAUUCUAUUUACGAUGUGGAGUCACAUCACUGUCAUUAAUGGAAAGUGACUACAGUCUUUGUUUUAAUAAAAAUCACCACGUAAGUCCCUGGGGCUGGCUUCCAGCAAAGAGGGGCAUAUCUGAUGGAAGAGGGCAAAGGCAG